rnacentral:rRNA from 1 species
UGGGGAAUAUUGGGCAAUGGAGGAAACUCUGACCCAGCGACGCCGCGUGAGGGAUGAAGGCCUUCGGGUUGUAAACCUCUUUCAGUAGGGAAGAAGCGAAAGUGACGGUACCUACAGAAGAAGCACCGGCUAACUAUGUGCCAGCAGCCGCGGUAAUACAUAGGGUGCAAGCGUUGUCCGGAAUUAUUGGGCGUAAAGAGCUCGUAGGUGGUUCAGCAAGUCGGGUGUGAAAACUCUGGGCUCAACCCAGAGCCUGCACCCGAAACUGCUGUGACUAGAGUUCGGUAGGGGAGUGGGGAAUUCCUAGUGUAGCGGUGAAAUGCGCAGAUAUUAGGAGGAACGCCAAUGGCGAAGGCAGGUCUCUGGGCCAUUACUGACACUGAGGAGCGAAAGCGUGGGGAGCGAACAGG